UACUGGGUGUAAAGGGCGUGUAGGCGGAGAUGCAAGUUGGGAGUGAAAUCCCGGGGCUCAACCCCGGAACUGCUUUCAAAACUGCAUCCCUUGAGUAUCGGAGAGGCAAGCGGAAUUCCUAGUGUAGCGGUGAAAUGCGUAGAUAUUAGGAGGAACACCAGUGGCGAAGGCGGCUUGCUGGACGACAACUGACGCUGAGGCGCGAAAGCGUGGGGAGCAAACAGGAUUAGAUACCCUGGUAGUCCACGCUGUAAACGAUGAAUACUAGGUGUGGGAGGACUGACCCCUUCCGUGCCGCAGUUAACACAAUAAGUAUUCCACCUGGGGAGUACGACCGCAAGGUUGAAACUCAAAGGAAUUGACGGGGGCCCGCACAAGCAGUGGAUUAUGUGGUUUAAUUCGACGCAACGCGAAGAACCUUACCAGGGUUUGACAUCCAACUAACGAAGUAGAGAUACAUUAGGUGCCCUUCGGGGAAAGUUGAGACAGGUGGUGCAUGGUUGUCGUCAGCUCGUGUCGUGAGAUGUUGGGUUAAGUCCCGCAACGAGCGCAACCCCUAUUGUUAGUUGCUACGCAAGAGCACUCUAGCGAGACUGCCGUUGACAAAACGGAGGAAGGCGGGGACGACGUCAAAUCAUCAUGCCCCUUAUAUCCUGGGCUACACACGUAAUACAGUGGUGGUUAACAGAGGGAAGCAAAACCGCGAGGUGGAGCAAAUCCCUAAAAGCCAUCUCAGUUCGGAUUGCAGGCUGCAACUCGCCUGCAUGAAGCUGGAAUUGCUAG
rnacentral:rRNA from 1 species